rnacentral:sRNA from 1 species
GACUAUCGAAAUAUGGGAGUUUUUAGUUAUUUUU